rnacentral:rRNA from 1 species
CGAAGGGGGCGAGCGUUAUUCGGAAUCACUGGGCGUAAAGCGUGCGUAGGCUGUCCGGCAAGUUGGAAGUGAAAGCCCAGGGCUCAACCCUGGAAUUGCUUUCAAAACUGCCGAACUAGAGUCCGGGGAGGAUAGCGGAAUUUCCAGUGUAGUAGUGAAAUACGUAGAUAUUGGAAGGAACACCAGUGGCGCAAGCGGCUAUCUGGACCGGUACUGACGCUGAGGCACGAAAGCGUGGGGAUCAAACAGGAUUAGAUACCCUGGUAGUCCACGCUGUAAACGAUGCGAGUUUGUCGCUGGGGAGUUCACUCUUCGGUGACGUAGUUAACACGUUAAACUCGCCGCCUGGGAAGUACGGCCGCAAGGUUA